rnacentral:rRNA from 1 species
CCCUUAGAUGUCCUGGGCCGCACGCGCGCUACACUGAUGCAUUCAACGAGCCUACCUUGGCCGAGAGGCCUGGGCAACCUUUUAAACGUGCAUCGUGAUAGGGAUAGAUUAUUGCAAUUAUUAAUCUUGAACGAGGAAUUCCUAGUAAACGCAAAUCAUCAAUUUGCAUUGAUUACGUCCCUGCACUUUGUACACACCGCCCGUCGCACCUACCGAUUGAAUGGUCCGGUGAGGACUCGGGAUUUUUACCAGUUUCCUUCAUUGGGAAUUGGUGAGGAGAACUUGUCCAAACCUUAUCAUUUAGAGGAAGGUGAAGUCGUAACA